AUACUUACCUGGACGGGGUCGAUGGGUGAUCAGCAAGGCCCAUGGUCUAGGCAAGCGACUUCCAUUGCACUUGGGAAGGACACUUGCCUAAGGUCUCCUCAAAGUAGGAGAGCCUACGUCAUGAUUUGUGUCAGUGGGGGCCUGCGUUCGCGCGGCCCCUGU
rfam:Gossypium hirsutum cultivar TM-1 unplaced genomic scaffold scaffold190.1, whole genome shotgun sequence